UUGAUUCAUUCCAUUCCUUCAAUUCAAAGUCAAAGUUUUAGAAGUUUCCUUGAGUCCUUUUGUUACAAUUCUUUGAAUCACAUCCGGUUUGAGAAUUCUACAAGAUUGAUUGAUUGAUUGAGUUCGUUGAUUGUCCUUAGAAGCAAUUGUUGAAAGAACUGAGUGGUAAAAGGCAGAGAGGUGAGCUCAAUAGAGGGUAAAAGCCAUUGUGUGUUUCCGAGUGACUUUGGUGAGGCAGUUAAAUAAAAUUUUAGUAUUAGGAUGUCAGAAAGGGCAGAAUCAAACUCAAGCCGACAAGGCAACAAU
rnacentral:lncRNA from 1 species